ACUGAUGGUUUCAAGAAUAAACUAGGUCAAGGAGGAUAUGGUUCUGUGUUUAAAGGAAAACUUCGAAGUGGUCAACUUGUUGCGAUAAAAUUGUUAAACAAGUCAAAAGCUAACGGCCAAGAUUUCAUCAAUGAAGUUGCAACUAUUGGAAGGAUUCAUCAUGUUAAUGUGGUAAGACUUAUUGGAUUUUUCGUAAAGGGAUCAAAACAAGCUCUUGUAUAUGACUUCAUGAAGAAUGGGUCCUUGGAUAAAAUUAUAUUUUCAGCUGAAAAUAACACUUUGAGUUGGCAAAAAAUGUUUGAGAUUGCAUUGGGAGUGGCUCGAGGUAUUGAAUAUUUGCAUAGAGGUUGUGAAAUGCAAAUUUUACAUUCUGAUAUCAAUCCACAUAACAUUCUUUAAGAUGAGAACUUUGCUCCAAAGGUUUCAGAUUUUGGUCUCGCAAAGUUGUAUUCAGUGGACGAUGAUAUCAUUUCUCUCACAGCAGCAAGAGGUACAGUAGGAUAUAUGGCUCCUGAAUUAUUUUAUAAAAAUAUCGGAGGUAUCUCAUAUAAAGCCGAUGUUUAUAGUUUUGGAAUGAUGCUAAUGGAAAUUAUUGGAAGGAGAAAAAAUUUGAAUGCCUCUGCUGAAUAUUCAAGUCAAAUUUAUUUUCCAUCAUGGAUAUAUGAUGGAUUAGAUGAAGGAGAUAUCAUGGAGCUUGGAGAUUUGAAAGAAAAUGAAAACAAAAUUAUGAGGAAAAUGGCAAUAGCAGCCUUAUGGUGCAUACAGAUGAAGCCCACGGAUCGGCCUUCAAUGAACAAAGCCUUGAAGAUGCUUGAAAGUGAAGUUGAGAUCCUUGAAAUGCCUCCCAAGCCUUCUUUCUCUCUAAAUGUCAACUAAAGGUAGUAAAGAAUUCUCCCCGCACACGUGGCAAUCGGCCUUCCUCAGCUACCUCGUGAUCAUAUGUAUACAUGCACGUCAAUGUAGGGUCAUGUGUAUCUCUUAAAUUGCAGGAUGAAGAUGAAUUCUUCGGUUUACAUUGAUGCUUUCCAUUGCACCAAUCGAUGUUCCUCUCCAGGUUAUUUUGUUUCUUCAGUCAAAUUAUUGUCUGGUUAACAACUAAUGGAAAUGUAAGGACAGAAUAUUAACGUGAUAUGUUACAUAAUUUAUACUAUAAUAUUUUAUCAUUGUUAACGGCACAAUUUGAUAAAAAGAUAAAAAAGAAGUCAUUUUAUUAUAUUAUGUGUAAAAUACAUGAAAAAAAAAGAUUACAAAUUUUAUUUGAUUACAUUACUGCAGAACUUACAAAAAUAAUUAUAGAAGCAUGGCUAAUGAUUAUAGGUAUUAUUUGAAUAGAUAUUUUUCUCAUUUUUCUUGUUUGACUGGUUGCAACUUGUCUUCAAAUUUUGAUAUCCACCAAAAAACUAUCCAAGAGCUUGAUUGUUUUAGAUAGUCAUUCAACAGCUUGACUGACUUUAUAUUUGUCUGUGCAACAAAUUUGAAUUUUUUUUUUAAAAAAGUCAAUAUUGAAUUUUAGACAUGCAUAAAUAGCAUAAUUUUUUAUUAUGCAGUGAAAAUAUAUGUAUAAAGUAUGAGGAAAGAUCUACUUAUACCGGUAUAAAAUUAAAUUAGUUUUACACUUUUUCAUGUCUUUUUAUUUCAUUUAUAUUUUGUUAAUCUAACCGUUCAUUUUAUGUUAUAUUCAUAUAAAUAUUCAUAGAUAGCAAAUUUCAAGUUAAUUGGAAAUGACUAACUACAUAUUUGAGAAAAAUAAAAUUUCAAUCAUUAAAUAUAUAUUGAAAAAAGGCAUUAUUCUCGGUUGAUGUAAUAAGAAUGUUGAAUUAAUAUGAGACUUUACGUGUAUGAUAAAUGCGAAUAAGUUGUUAAAUGUAAUGAUUCUAUUUGUUAAAAUAUUAAUUCCCUAAGAAGUUAUAGAAAAAUGUAAAGUACUUAGUUUUAGAGAUACAAGGCGAUUCCUCUUGGCCGGUAUAAAGUAUUGCUAUUUAGGCUUUUGUGUGCAAUUUUUUUUCAUAGCUAAUUGUUGUUGAAAAUGUGCAAUCUUUACUACUGUAUGCAUGUAAUAUUUUUGUCCAAAAUAUUAGCAAAAAAAAUGUUUUGAACUGUGAACUCCGUAAAAGUUCUAUACAAAAGGAUUUUAAACAACACUAGUUAAAGAAAAUAAAUAAAUAAAUGCAAAUUUAAUUAUUAUAGUGUGUUUUUUCCACUUGUUCAAAGUAAGAUUUGAUUUCAAUUGCAGCCCUAGAUAUAAUCAGCAAAGCAAUGAAGAUAACAUUAUCCAAAGAUUUAAUGUUUCUCGUUAAACUUUUUUAUAUAUAAUUCUCCAAAGAAAAAUACAGUUUUAUACUUAAAAAAUAAAUGUAAAAUAUGAAAUUGAUCAAAUUUUUUCAGAAUUAUUAUUUUAUAUAUCUUGAAAUUUUGAAAUUCCAAAAUUUAUAAUAUUGUUUAAGUCAUAUUAUAUAUAUUAUUGAGGGUUUAUAGUAAUAUCCCUACUGUGUAGAUUUACUUGGAUGAAUUGCAAAGAUUUCUUUUCCAUCAGUUCCGCUACGUACCAAUUGGCUGGGUACACGGAUUUUCUUCUUUCUUGUUUGUUUGCGUGGAAAAUCAUCAAAGAGCUCUAUGACAGGCUUGUCGUUAAAAGUGUUUUGCUGGCUGGCUUUAAUUAGUUGACUGACUUUUCAAAAGAAGACUUGGUUUUAACAAUAAAUGUAAGCACUGCUUCGCUUGCCUGUAUCAAAACUAGAACCUUGAUCUCCCACUGAAACUUUGGGAUGCUUUACGUCAUACUUCCAUUACUUUGCCUUUUGGCUUUUGCUUCAUUUCUAUUCCCCGAUCCAGGCCGCGUUACAGAAAAAUACAAGCACUGUGGUUCUUCUUUAUGUGGAAACAUUAACAUCACUUACCCUUUGCGAUUAAAAACCCAGUCUCAUAGGUGUGGUUACAAGGAGCUUGAACUAGUGUGCCAGAAUAACCGUACUAUUUUCCCCAUGAAACAUGGGAAUUUCUAUGUCCAACACAUCUCUUAUAGUGACGAAACCAUUCAACUUUUAGACGAGAGUCUUGGCAACGAUAACUGCUCCAUUCCUCAUAGUUCCUAUCCUUGGUACACCCCUUUCUCGAAAAAAAUAUAUCUCUAUGGAACCACCUCUGAAUAUAGCAUCAUGUGUCUCGUCAAUUGCACGAUGCAAAUCAACUACUCUUCCGUUUAUAUCGAUGCUUUUCGUUGCACCAACAAUACCCCUUCCUCUCGACCUGCUUACUUUUACUUUUUGGAUGGAAAUACAACAGCGUCUGAUUUCGAUGAGUCAUGCAGAGUUGAAGCCCAGGUUCCAAUCAUGCUUGCCAACAUCACCGGCCGCUCUACUUUUGAUAUUUACACAAAGCUGUUAACGGGAUUCCAACUCUCAUGGUCAACUUCCUAUUAUGAUUAUGUUUGGCUGUCGUGGGACUCAAUCGUUAACGUGUGAGGAUUUUUAAGUAUUCCGCAAUAUUUGGUGUUGUUUAGUUUUUGAAAAAUAUUUGUUAUUACUAUUAUUUUUUGGAUCGUAAUAUUUAUUAUUUUUAGCAUAAAUAAAUAUGAUAAAUAAACAAAUAUCAAAAUAUUUAGUUUUGAAUUCUUUUAAAUUACUUUUUUAAUUAUGUGUAUAAAUUUGUAUCUAAAAUUUAAACUCGAUAUUUUAAUGUAAAAUUUAAAGAGAAGGAUUUAAAAAAUUUUCAACACUAAAAGUGCGCAUAUCAUUUGCCUUAUUAAGGAUUAAUGGUUUUGAUGUGCUUUUUUGAAUAUUAAUUAUAGAUUUCUAUCCUUGCUCGGCCUGUUGGUGCUUCCGCUGGAGAUACUUAUAGUAGGCAACAUAGCUUUUUUUGGACGAUAUCAUAUCAAUGGAUUUAGUAAAGGUAUUCUUUCGGUUCUGAGUUCAUUAAUAUUUUGAUUAUUAUUGGAUUUGCCUUUACUUUGAUAGUAUCUAUGUUCAUUUAUUUUCCGAAUUGGUAAUAUCUUUGCAGGAAUCCAGAUUCUUUGUGUUGCAAUAACAGGUACUAAAUUCUAUACUUAUUUAUUUACUCUUAAAUUCUACAAUUAUUAUAAUGUAUGACAUCAAUAAAUAUAUUAUUAUAUAAAUGAAUCAAAAAAUUAUUAAAUUAUUUAAAAAAUUCCUAAACUAUUUUAAAGAAAUUCAAAUAAGCUUUUCUUAAUUUUUAUUACAUUCAAUCAAGCUAUUAUAUUUUUAUUUUGAACCAAAUAAACCCUUCUAAAUAAUAGUUAACUAAUGUUAUUAGUUCAAAUGUCACUUAUUAUUUUAUACUUAUGUGACAUUGAUAUGAUGCUGACAAGGAGGAUGAAAAUACCACGUAACCAUGUCAUAAUGCCAUAUACUAUGACAUGUCAACAUAAUAUAUCAAUGUCUUGUGACUUAAAAUAACAAAUGGUAUUUUAAUUAAUAACAGUUAGUUAUCCAUUAGUUAUAAUAGCUUAUUUGAUUCAAAAUAAAUGUUUAAGAGCUUGAUCAUACACAAUAAAAGAAUAAGAGUUUAUUUAAAAUUUUCUAAAUAGCUCAGGAAAUUUUUUUAAGUAUUAUGCAUGUAUGUGUGUGUGUGUGUAUGUGUAUAUACCAGUGUGAAAUUAAUUAAAUUUACACCUUUUCAUAUUUUUUAUAAGAUUUCUAUUUUGUUAAUUUAACCGUUGUAUUCCAUAUGUACUCAAUUUACAUAGAUCAUGCAUAAAAAAUUUUAAAUCAAUUGAAAAUAUCUAAUUAUUUGUAUAAUAAUAAUAAAAUUUUAACCGUUAAAUAUAUAUUUAAAAAACAAUAUUCUCUACCAAUGUGAUAUGGAUAUGGCACUGACUUGAAACUUUAUAUGUACUAUUGGAUGCAAAUAAAGUUAGCUUGCUAAAACUUAAUUGUAUAUGAAAUUAUAAAAUGGUGUAUAUAUAUAUAUAUAUAUAUGAGUAUUGCAUAUAUGUAUAUGUAUGUAUAAAGAGAUUCAAUAAAGGAUUAAAUAAGAGAAGAUCUACUAUAAAUGAUUCGUAAAUAAUAUUGAACUACAUUAAUUAGGGUUUUUUAGUGAGGUAUUUUAAUGUUGUUACAAUGUUUUUUGGUCAAGAUAAAAAUUAUGUCCAAAUUUAGCAUUUUACUUUAGACCAAAUUAUGAUCAUAUUUAAAUGAGAAUAAUUGGCACUUUACUUUUAAAUUGAUUAAAAAUGAUCAAAAGUUAUGAAAUAAACUAAAAAGUACACUCAUUCAAAAAAGAAUAGUAAAUUUAAUCCAUCAUUUUUUUAAAAGGUGAAUUUUUAUUAACCUCAACACUAUCAUGCCAUUUUGAGUCUCAAACAUAGAUUGCAAGAGACUCUCACGGCAUAAAUAGUUAGUGAGCAGCCUGUACAAUUUCCAAAAAGAAUAUGCUACUCAACAAGAUUUUGGUAGCAACUCAGGAUAAAGAAACUAACGUACCUUAAGUAGAUUGGUAAAUUUGAACCUAAUCUCAAAUUAUUCUAUGAAGUUUGUUUGUGAAAAUAUGGCAGCUAGCACAUACCCAAAUUAAAGUUGUAAAUAACAUAUACAUGUUCUAUAAUCAUGUUUUCCAACUAAUUGAUUUACAUAUUGUUUUGUAACUUUUUUUUUUGAAACAGGAAUUCUUUUACUAAGAACUUUUUUGGGAAUAAUUUGCUUGAUUGUGUUGGUUAGACAAAAAUUGAAAAGGAGGCAUUUGUCUGUGGAUGACGAUAUUGAGAAUUUUCUUCAGAGUCAAAACAAUUUAAUGCCUAUCAGAUAUUCUUACUCUGAAAUAAAAAGAAUGACUGAUGGCUUCAAGAAUAAACUAGGUCAAGGAGGAUAUGGUUCUGUGUUUAAAGGAAAACUUCGAAGUGGUCAACUUGUUGCGAUAAAAUUGUUAAACAACUCAAAAGCUAACGGCCAAGAUUUCAUCAAUGAAGUUGCAACUAUUGGAAGGAUUCAUCAUGUUAAUGUGGUAAGACUUAUUGGAUUUUGCGUGAAGGGAUCAAAACAAGCUCUUGUAUAUGACUUCAUGAAGAAUGGGUCCUUGGAUAAAAUUAUAUUUUCAGCUGAAAAUAACACUUUGAGUUGGCAAAAAAUGUUUGAGAUUGCUUUGGGAGUGGCUCGAGGUAUUGAAUAUUUGCAUAGAGGUUGUGAAAUGCAAAUUUUACAUUUUGAUAUCAAGCCACAUAACAUUCUUCUAGAUGAGAACUUUACUCCAAAAGUUUCAGAUUUUGGCCUCGCAAAGUUGUAUUCAGUGGAUAAUGAUAUUAUUUCUCUCACAGCAGCACGAGGUACAGUAGGAUAUAUGGCUCCUGAAUUGUUUUAUAAAAAUCUCGGAGGUAUCUCAUAUAAAGCCGAUGUUUAUAGUUUUGGAAUGAUGCUAAUGGAAAUUACUGGAAGAAGAAAAAAAUUUGAAUGCCUCUGCUGAACAAUCAAGUCAAAUUUAUUUUCCAUCAUGGAUUUAUGAUCGAUUAGAUGAAGGAGAUAUCAUGGAGCUUGGAGAUUUGACAGAAAAUGAAAACAAAAUUAUGAGGAAAAUGGUAAUAGUAGCCUUAUGGUGCAUACAGAUGAAGCCCACUGAUCGUCCUUCCAUGAGCAAAGUCUUGAAUAUGCUUGAAAGUGAAGUUGAGCUCCUUGAAAUGCCUCCCAAGCCUUCUUUCUCUGGAAAUGUCAACUAAAUAUAGUAAGAAUUCUCCCCGCACACGUGGCAAUCGGCCUUCCUCAGUUAUCUCGUGAUAUUUGUCAUUGGGACACCACUCAACAUUGUGAUCUUGCUAAAUCUGACAACUUCUUCUGUAUUUAGUUUUUUGAAUGGUACGUAGUUUUUGUUUCCACCUAGAUCUAGUAGGCAGUGUUUGUAUUUUCUCUACUACCUUGGUUUGUUUUGUUUCUGCUACUUCUCUAUUGCCCUGUAUGUGACCUCUGAUGGAAUAAAUCAUUUCCUCACUUGUAAAAAAAUUGCAAGAAAAUGUAAUUUUAUUUUUCCCUUAUUUUAUACUGUCAUCCCAAACUCGCAGCACAACAGACGCCACAUACCUGUAAGAUGUAAUCUUACAAACAUGCAAGGGUCCAAUACAUAUACCUUAAAACACUAACUGAAAGACACUAAAAUACCUGAAGAACAAAGUGAUUCAUAAUCGGUAGAAAUUCAAAAAUCAUAAUUCGACAAUAUUCAGAAUUAAGUCUCUAAAACUAUAAAGUUAACAUGUCAAGAUAAAACUCUGAAUACUAAUUUAAGAUAGUUUGAUGUUCAUAAUAUUUAAAUAAAUCCUAGACAACCUAAAUGCUAUUAGAUUAAAACAUCACUCCUUGAAAUUCUCACGUAGUUGACCAAAUCACAACCUAAAAAAAAAAUUGAAAGAAUGAGUGAGUCCAACUACUCGGUAAGUAACAAAUAUCUCACUUCGUACUACAAAAGCCCUCAAAUAUAUGACCAAAAAUGUUAUCGGAAUAUGGAGUUCCAAUGACCCAAAUUUGGAUUGUCAAAACAGUUGAAAACCAAGUUUCUAAUUAAUUUUAAAAAUUCAUAUUUUCUAAACCACAAAACUAAACUAGAUGCUACAAAAACCAUUGGAAAGAUCUUUUCAAGACCUUUCCAUUGGUAACCAUCAUGCCACCGAAAGGUCACCAGAAUAGUGCCGAAUUUGAAUAAAAGUUAAGAAAACAUAAAUAAUUUAGGGCUUUUGUGCCCAACUAUGGAAAUACAACCCUAAACAUACCUUAAUCAGAAAUCCCUUGAAUACUUUUCUCUUUUUUCUAUCUUUCUUCUUCUAUGGUGUUAAGCUUUUCUGACUACCUAUCGUUUGAGUCUGAUGAAAUAAACUGACAUGAGUUUUCUACCUUUUCUUUUAAACUUGUAAACUAACCUAACCUCCACUAUUUUUUUUUUAAACGUGGUUUAGUGAGUUGUGAUCAGGUAAAACAAAUUGACCUUAACCGCACUAACUUAAACAUGAUAAACAAAACUGACAUUAAUUAAACUUCUUUAUUUACUUAAAGACCCCUUUUUCUAUUUUUUAAUUAUUAAGACACUCAAGGUUGUAACUGUAAUUAAAUAAAAUACUAAAACAACAUUUAUUUAUUUAUUUUAUAAAACUAUAGCCUAAUAAAUCUAAAUGUUUUUAUAAUAUAUACUUUGUGAGGGGUAUUACAUCCUUCCCUCCUUAAAAAGGAGUUUAGUUCCUUAAACUCUUACCUUGGUCCUCAAAAAGGCAGGGAUACUUCUUUUUUAUAUUUUUUCUAAAUCCCAAGUCGCUCCUCAUUCUGUAUGAUUACUUCAUUAGAUCUUAACAUAAGGAAUAGUUCGCCUUCUUAGAACUUGCUUCUUUCUAUCCACAACACACAUAGGAUGCUCAUCAUAAGACAAAUCUUCUCUAAGUAUCAAAGGAGCUAACCACACCACAUGACUAGGAUCUGGAACAUAUUUUCUCAACAAAGAAACAUGAAACAUGUUAUGCGCUCUCGAUAAAGCAGGUGGAAGUGCCAACCUAUAAGCCACAUCACCAACCUUAUCCAAAAUCUCAAACGAACCCAUAUAACAAGAACUAAGUUUUCCUCGAAUCCUAAAUUGCAUUACUCCUCUAGUAGGUGAAACUAGCAAAAAGACAUGAUCUCCAACCUCAAAUUCUAUCUUCCUUGUUUUAUUGUUUGCAUAACUCUUCUAUCUACUUUGAGCCGUACGAAGAUGUUCUCUAACUAACUGAACCUUCUCAACUGCUUGUUGAAUAAGAUCUAGACCCAAUAAUUGUCUUUCACCCACAUCAUCCCAACAAAGAGGUGACCUGCACUUCUUACCAUACAAAGCUUUGAAUGAAGCCAUUUGAAUACUAGACUGAUAGCUAUUAUUAUAAGCAAAUUCCGUCCAUGACAAGUGUCGAUCCCAAAAACCUCCAAAAUCCAUGACACAAGCUCUCAACAUGUCCUUAAGAAUUUGAUUAAUUGUCUCGGACUGACCAUCUGUUUGAACAUGAAAAGUAGUACUAAAAUUAAGUCUAGUACCCAAAGAUUUAUGUAGACUCUCUCAAAAUUUCACCACAAAUCGAGAAUCUUGAUCAUAUACAAUGGACACUAGCACCCCAUGCAGUCUCACAAUCUGCUCCACAUAUAACUCCACUAACUUUUCCAAUGACAUUUCCGUACGAAUAGCCAAGAAGUGAGCAGACUUUGUUAAUCUAUCAACAAUCACCUAGAUGCCAUCAUUACCUUUUAGUGUUCUCGGCAACCAGAUAUAAAGUCCAUAGUAAUUCGUUCCCAUUUCCAUUCUAGAAUAAGAAAUGGUUGCAAUAACUCUACUGGCCUCUGAUGUUCAACCUUAAUUUGUUGACAUGUUAAACAUUUGGCUAAAAACUGUGCAAUCUCUCUCUUCAUAUUGUUCCACCAAAAAGUGUUCUUCAAAUCUCGAUACAUCUUGGUACCACCAAGAUGGAUUGUAUAAUUACUAUAAUGAGCUUUCAACAAAAUUUCUCUCUUCAAUUUUGCAUCAUUGGGAACACAAAUUCUAUCACCAAACCUCAAAGAGUCAUCAUCAUGAAUCCUAAAGUCUGGUUUCAAACCAGAAUUAACCCUAAGUUUAAUGUGCUGAAGUCGAAGAUCAUCUACUUGGGCUGUCUUAAUCCGGUGAAUUAAAGUUGGUUGUACUCAUAUGUUAGCCAAUAAUGCUCCAAAACCCUGUAUACAUACACCAAUAUCCAUCCUCCGUAAGUCCUCCAAUAUCUGUUUUUGGGAAGUAAUCAUUGUGGCCAUGUUCCCAAACGUCUUUCUACUUAGAGCAUCAGCAACUCUAUUUGCCUUACUUGGGUGAUAAUUGAUGGUCAAGUCAUAAUCCUUCAACAAUUCUAACCAUCUUCUUUGUCACAUAUUCAACUCCUUCUGCGUGAUAAGAUACUUUAAACUUUUAUUAUCUGUAAAGACCUCACAAGACUCACCAUUCAAAUAAUGUCUCCAAAUCUUUAAUGCGAAACCACUACUGCCAACUUUAAAUCAUGAGUAAGAUAAUUCUCAUCAUAAGGUUUCAAUUGCUUAGAAGCAUAAGCGAUCACCUUAUCAUCCUGCAUAAGAACACACCCAAGUCCCUUUUUGGAAUCAUCACUAUAAACAACAAAUCCCUUACCACUAAUAGGCCUGGUAUGCAUAGGAGCGAAUACUAAUCUUUUCUUUAUCUCCUCAAAGCUCUUUUCAUAAUCAUUUGUCCACUCAAAACAAAUCCCUUUCCAUAUCAAUUUGGUUAAAAGUAAGGCAAUACAAGAAAAAUCCUCUACAAAUUACCUACAGCAUCCUACUAAACCCAGAAAACUGUUAAUCUCAAAAACAUUAUGUGGUCUCUUUCAAUUCACCACUAUUUCAACUUUCUUUGAAUCCACUGAAAUCCCGUCUUUCAACACCACAUGCCCAAGGAAAGCAACACUAAAAAGUCAAAAUUCACAUUUCUUCAAUUUAGCAAAUAACUAUUUCUGCCUCAAAGUCUUCAAAACAACCCUUAGAUGCUCUUUAUGAUCUGCUGAGCUAGGGGAAUACACUAGAAUAUCAUCAAUAAAAAUAACCACAAAUUUAUCCAAAUAAGGUUUAAAAACCCUAUUCAUCAAGUCCAAAAAAGUAACUAGAGCAUUUGUCAACCCAAAAGGCAUAAUAAGGAACUCAUAAUGCCCAUAUCAGGUACGAAAAGUAGUUUUGGGAACAUCCUCAAUUCUCACCUUCAACUGGUGAUAACCAGAUAAAAGAUUAAUUUUGGAAAACACUUAAGUGCCCUUUAGUUGAUCAAAUAAAUCAUAUAUCCCAGGCAAAAGAUACCUAUUAUUCACGGUUGCCUUAUUUAACUCCCGAUAAUCAAAACACAACCUCAUACUCCCAUUUUUUUUCUUCACAAAUAACACUGGCGCUCCCCAAGGAGAUAUACUACAUCUAAUAAAGCCCUUAUCAAGAAGUUCUUGCAACUGCUCUUUCAACUCUUUUAAUUCUAUAAGAGCCAUUUUAUAAGGAGCUUUAGAAAUAAGGUCAGUUUUUGGAACCAAAUCAAUAGAGAAAUCAAUUUCUCUAUUAGGAGGUAAACUAAGUAGAUCUUUAGGAAAAAAUUAGGAAAUUCCCCCAUAAUAAGAACAUCUUCAAUCAUUAACUCCUUCAUUCUAGUGUCUAUAACAGUUGCCAAAAAUCUUUUGUAACCACUAGUAAGCAAUCACCUAGCUUUCAAAGCAAAGAUGACUCGCAAAGGAGUGUAAGAACCACUACCACGAAAAGAAAAAGGUGUUUCCCCGGGAAUCUGAAAGUCUACCCUUUUCCCUCGAUAAUCAACUUUAGCAAAAUUUGCAACUAACCAAUCCAUCCCCAGAAUUAUAUCAAAAUCUUACAUAUCUAAAACAUGAAGAUCUGUAAGCAAUUCUCUAUCUUCAAUCCUUACCACACACAUCUUAUAAAUCUGAUCAGAGAUAAUAUCACCUCUAACUAGAGUGUCUACGCAUAGUUCAUAAUCUAGAAGCAUACAAGGCAAAGCAAACUUUCGAAAAAAUGUAGCAAAUACAAAAGAACGAGAUGCAUUGGUAUCAAACAAUACAUGAGUAAAAGCUGAGGCAACUAGCAGUGUACUUGAGACAACGGUGUUGGAUGCCUCUACAUCCGAUUGAGUGAUAGCAUAAGCACGCCCCUGGGUGCAAGGUCUUCCCACUUUUUGAUGUUCAAAAGAAGGUGUUUGCGUAGUCUAAACAACAUGAGUGGGUUGAGUCCUUUGCGUUGCAGUUUCAAAAGUUCGAGAGUUUUGCGACCUCUGCACAGAUUGAGAUUCUUGAAGGACUAAAGGACAAUUAGCAAUACGAUGGCCCUAUUGUCUACAUUCAGCAGCUCGAUGUCCUCCACCACACACUGAACACCUAGGCUUUUGUGCCCAAACUAUGAAAAUACAACCCUAAACAUAACUUAAUCAGCAAUCCCUUGAAUAUUUUUCCCUUUUUUCUGUCUUUCUUCUUCCUUGGUGUUAAGCUCUUCUGACUGCCUAUCGUUUGAGUAUGAUGAAAUAAACUUGUAAACUAACCUAACUUUCACUAUUUUUUUUUAAACAUGAUUUAGUGAGUUGUUGUCAGGUAAGAUAUACUAACCUUAACCCCACUAACUUAAAUGUGAUAAAUAAAACUGACAUUAAUUAAACUUUUUUAUUUACUUAAAGACCCCUUCUUCUCUUUUUUAAUUAUUAAGGCACCAAAAGUUAAAACUGCAAUUAAAUAAAAUACUAAAAGAACAUCUACUUAUUCAAAAAUGAAUAGUAAAUUUGAUCCAUCAUGUUAAGUAGAUUGGUGGUAAAUUUGAACCUUUUCUCAAACUAUUCUAUGGAGUUUGUUUGUGAAAAUAUGGCAGCACAUGCCCAAAUUAAAUUAGUAAACAACAUACACAUAUUCUAUAAUCAUGUUUUUCAUCUUUGGGUUGGCAAAGAAUGUUUGAGAUUGCAUUGGGAGUGGUUCGAGGUAUUGAAUAUUUACACAGAGGUUGUGAAAUGCAAAUUUUACAUUUUGAUAUCAAGCCACAUAACAUUCUUCUAGAUGAGAACUUCAUCCCGAAAGUUUCAGAUUUUGGCCUUGCAAAGUUGUAUUCAAUGGAUGACAGUAUUGUCUCUCUUACAGCUGCAAGAGGUACAUUAGGAUAUAUGGCUCCUGAAUUGUUCUAUAAAAAUAUUGGAAGCAUUUCAUAUAAUGUUUAUAGUUUUGGAAUGAUGUUAAUGGAAAUUGUCGGAAGGAGAAAAAAUGUGAAUGUCUCUGCUGAACAUUCAUGUCAAAUUUAUUUUCCAUUUUGAAUUUAUGAUCGACUUGAGGAAGGAGAUAUCAUAGAACUUGGAGAUGUAACGGAAAAUGAAAACAAAAUUAUGAGGAAAAUGGUAAUAGUAGCCUUUUGGUGCAUACAGAUGAAGCCCACAGAUCGUCCUUCAAUAAGCAAAGUCUUGGAGAUGCUUGAAAGUGAAGUUGAGCUCCUUGAAAUGCCUCCCAAGCCUGCUUUCUCUGAAAGGUCAACCAAACCAUUAGUUGUAUUAUAAGUAAUAUUUAAUGUUGUACGUUAAGCAAUGUUUCACUACUUUAUCAUACUACUUUUAUAAUUUUUAUAGUAGAAACCUUAAGCUUGAGGCAUAAUCUUCUCUCUUCCAAAAAAAACCAAAAAAAAAAAACAAUAUAGAAUGGUGAGGAAGAAAGUAUAGCAAGGAAAAGAAGGAUACUGAGUUGGAGUUUUGAGCGUGCGAAGGUGUUAUUUUAGAAGAGUUGUAAUGGUAUCUCGUAAGUAUUUUGUCUAUAUAAAAAGUCUUUUGCUCAUAUAAAGAAUAAAGACUUUAAAUAGCAUUAUCGAUAUAUUAUUGCAAAUAAUUAACUUACGUUUUAAAAAAAUUAAAAAUAUUCCUCAACCAUGCUUGGAAUUAUAAUUUUUAUUUAAAAAAAUAAAUUAUUUGAGUUUUAUUUUAAAAAAAUAAAUUAUUUGAGUUUUCUCUCUUAAUUAAAAAGUCAAAUUUUAUCCAAUUCAAAAAUUUAUUUAAAAUGAUUUGAAAUCAAAUUCAACUUAAUUCAAAUUAAAUGACAAAAAUUAAAAAUUUCAAUAUGAAAAUACGUGAAUUUAAAAUGAUAUUAAUUUAAUCCGACACAAUUCAAUGUUAACAUGACUCGAAUCUAAAACGAACCGAGCUCAUAAUGAUCAAAAAUCCAAGAUUUAUUGGAUCCAAAACUUACAAAAACUUAAAUUUAUAACUCCCAAAAAUCCAAAUUAUAAUUAAAUAAUUUUAUUUAAUAAUUAAAUAAGUAAAUGAUUAAUUUUUAAGUGAAAAUUUUAAGACACACAAGCACCUUUUUCUCGUCAAUGCUUCUUCGUUACUCAGAAACAGCUCAUAAGAAUGGCAUGGUCAACUACUCUGCUUCACCUUCACUUCAAAUCCCCUCCGGUUUCUUCUCACCAAUUCCCACAUUCCCCCCCAAAAAUCCCCGAUCUUCCUAAACCCUAACCCUAUAAUUCCCAAACCCAAACCCCCCAAAAUGCAAUUCCUUCACAGGCCCAACGCGUUUCCAGGCCACGGCGCAGUAUCAAGAGCCAUGGACAUCAUCCAAUCCUCACCGCCCACGUGGGAAUCGGCCUUCCUUACCAACAUCCUGAUCUUCGUCGUCGGGACUGCACUUUUAGUAGCGGGGCUUUCUCUCUCCGAAAUUUUCGCUUCCUUCUUGCUUGGCACUCUCACUUGGCGAGCUUUCGGGUCUUCUGGAUUCCUCCUCAUUGCUUCUUACUUCGUUAUAGUGAGUCACUAAAAAGUCUAUGAAUUUUAUUUGAAUUAUGGGAUUUACGUUAAAAUUGGAAAUGGGUUCUGAUUUUCGCUCCCAUUUGGUAUAAAGUUUAUGCUCUGGAUGACAAGUUUCAUUGUUUGGUAUUUUGGCAAAGGAAAAAAAAUUUAGUUUAUGUCAAAAAGAUUUAACGUGAAGUAUUUAGUUAUUUAAGUGUGAUUUGUUUUUAUUUCAAGAAUUGGAUUACACUAGGUGAAAACAGGUCAAAACUAUAACCAAAACAUUUUUCCAAAAUUCUUUUUUAUUUUCAUUUGUUUUCUUCUUGGUGGGGGCAGGUGAAGGGAGAUUUUAUUUGCUUUUGACAUGUUUCUUAAGUAUAAAGUUGAAGUAGAAGAUAAACUGAAUAAAAAAAUAAAAAAAGUUAAAUUAGAUAGAGAGGGUGAAUAUUUACCUAUUAAUGAUAUUUGUGAAAAGAAAGAAAUAAUUUAUAAAAUUACUCUCUCAUAUUCUACUGAAUCAAAUAGUGUAGUUGAAAGGAAAACUAAAACAUUAAAAGAAAUGAUGAAUUAUAUGCUUAUUAGUUCUAAUGCACAUGAAAAUUUGUAGGGUGAAGUUAUAUUAUUUGCAUGUCAUAUUCAAAAUAGAAUUCACUGCAAGAAAACUGAUAAGACACCUUAUGAAUUGUGAAAAGUCUAUUCUUCUAACUUAAAAUAUUUAAAAGUAUGAGAGUGUUUAGCUAAUGUUAUGCUUCUUGAUUUUAAGAAAAGAAAAAUUGACUCUAAGAUGUCCGGUUGCAUGUUUAUUGGCUAUACCAAAUAUAGUGCUGCAUAUAAAUUUCUUGUACUAAAAAAUGAUGUUUUUGAUAAUAAUACAAUUAUUAAAACAAAAAAUGUUGAAUUUUUUUGACAUAUUUUUCUAUUGAGAACUGAUACAAUUUUUCUUCCAUCUUUUAGUGAAAAUGUUUUUUUAAAUGCAAAAUGAUGAUUUGAGAAGAAGUAAAAGACAAAAGAAAGAAAUUUCUUUUUGUAAUGAUUUUUACACUUAUCUUGUAGAUAAUGAUCUUUUAAAUUAUGCUAAUUCAAUUUCUUCUAAAGAAUGUCCAUUUUGAAAAGACGUUAUACAAAAUGAGAUUGAUUCUAUUUUACAAAAUCAAACCCGGGAAUUAAUUUAUUUACCACCUGAAGCUAAGCCAAUUGGUUGUAAAUGGAAUUUUUAAAAAAAAUUUAAUCUUGAUUAUUUUAUUGAUAAAUACAAAAUUAAAUUAGUUGCUAAGGGUUUUACCAAAAAAUAAAAUAUUGAGUAUUUUGAUACUUUUGCUCUAGUAACAAGAAUUUCAUCUAUUUGUAUUUUAAUUGCCUUAGCUUCGAUUUACAAACUUUUUGUUCAUCAAAUGAAUGUUAAAACAGUUUUUUUAAAUGAUGAUUUAGAAGAAGAAAUUUAUAUGACACAACUCGAGGGAUGUGUACUUCUUGGUCAAGAAAACAAAAUUUGUAAAUUAAUUAAAUCUCUAUAUACUUAAAACAAGCACCAAAAUAAUGGUAUGAGAAAUUUGAUUAAAUUCUUGUUAAUAAUAGAUUUUUUACUAUUGGAGUUGAUAAAUGUGUGUACACAAAAACUAUUGAUAACGAAUAUAUGAUUAUUAGCUUAUAUGUUGAUGAUAUGUUUAUUUGUGGUACAUGCAUUGAUGUGGUAAAUAAAACAAUAUGUUUCUUAACUUAUAAAUUUGAUAUGAAAGAUUUGGGAGAAACCAAUAUUAUUUUGGGUGUUAAAGUCAUAAGAUGUGAGAGUGGCCUAAUGUUAACACAAAAACAUUAUAUUGAGAGGUUACUUAAAAAGUUUAGACAUUUUAAUGUCACACUUGUGAAUACUCCUUAUAAUGUUAAUACCCAAUUAAAGAAAAAUAGAGAUGAUAGUAUGGCUCAACCUUAGUAUGCAUAGAUUUUUAAAAGUUUGAUGCAUUUGAUGAAUUAUACUUGACUUGGUAUAGCUUAUGUUAUGUGUAGACUGAGUAAAUAUACAUAAAGUCUCAAUCAAGAUCAUUGAACUGUUUUGAAUAGAGUAAUGAAAUAUUUGAAAUGUACCAUAAACUAUGAUAUUUUAUAUAAUAGAUUUUCCGUUGCAUUAGAAAGGUACAAUAAUGUUAACUUAAUCUCAUAUUCAGAUGAGACAAAAUUCAUGAGUGAUUAUGUAUUCACCAUUGGUGUGGAUGCUGUUACUUAGAAAUUAGUCAAAUAAAUAAUAAUUACUAAAUCUACAGUGGAAUCAGAAUUUAUAGUUUUAGAAUUAACUAGUAAUGAGGUUGAAUAGUUAAGAAACCUCUUAACAGAUAUUUCAUUAGAAAUGAAACCAACACCUUCUGCGUCUAUGUAUUGUGAUUGUCUAACGGCAAUAAACAUUGUGAAGAAUAAAACUUUCAAUGGUAAGAAUAGACACAUUUGUUUAAGAUAUGAUGUGGUAAAAUAAUUACUUAGAGAUGAAAUUAAUGUCCAUUAAUUAUACGAAGUCAUAUACCAAAAAAUAUAAAUUAUGAAACCGAUGAAUCCUUUUAGAACUAUUAUUUUGCAUUUCAAUAAGUCCAUGGUGGAAUUUUAAGACUGCACAAAUGAAUUCAUAGGAUUGUUUAAGUGAUUUUAUUUAUAUGUUAUUGCAGACAGAUUACAAAAAUUCCUUUCCUGUUAGUUUCGUUAUCAAUCAGUUCAUACGUUAUUUUCUUCAUUAAUUCUUGUUUGAGUGGAAAAUCAUCUCAGAGCUAUGAUUGGCUUGUGUUGAAGUUGUUGGAUUGAAUUAAUUAGUUGACUGGACUGACUUUUCAAACGAAGACGAGUGAGGGAGAAAGACCGCACCAUUAAAAGUUGACUGACUUUUCAGUUACCGCAUGAAACCGUACAACUCUCAGACGUGAGUCUGAAAAAUGUGCAAUUUUGCUAAUAUAUGCAUGUGAUAUUUUUGUCCAAAAUAUUAUCAAAACAAAUUGUAUAGAACUGUGAAAUCCGUAAAAGUUGUUUGCAAAAAGGUUUUUAACAGCACAAGUUAAAGAAAAAAGGUCAAAGGAAGAUUUGAUUUCAAUUACAGCCACAGAAAUAAUUAACAAAGCAAUAAAGAUAACAUUAUCCUAACUCUUAUUUAAUCUCUCUCGUUAAACUUUGUUAUACUUAAUUCUCCUAAAAAAAACUUUUUUAUACUUACAAAAAAUAAAUAUAAGAUAUGGAGAUUGAUCAAUUUUAUUUAGAAUUAUUAUUUUAUAUAUUUGCAAUGAAAUUUUGAAAUUCCAAAUUUCAUAACAUUAUUUAAGUCAUAUUAUAUAUCUACAUAUAUAUAUAUUAUGUUAAGGGGUAUAUUGAUCUCACUAAUGUGCAGAUAUACUUGGAUGAAUUACCCAUGAGUGCUAUGGUAGGCUUUGUGUUAAAUGUGUUUUCUGGUUUGGGUUUAAUUAGUUGUCUGACUUUUCAAAAGAAGACUUGGUUUUAACAAUAAAUAUAAGAGAACAUCAUAGUGCUUCUUCACAAACUAAUUAAGCCCUUAAUCUCCUUCUCUCCCACUGAAAUUUUAGGAUGCUAAGAGCAAAGCUUCCAUUAUUCGGCCUUCUGGCCCUUGCUUUAUCUCUAUUCCCUGAUGCAUGCAUCGCUAGAGGCAAACACAAGCACUGUGGCUCUUCUUUCUGUGGAAACAUUAAUAUCACUUCCCCUUUUCGAUUAAAAAGUCAGCCUCGAAGUUGUGGUUACAAUCGUUAUGAACUAGUAUGCGAGAAUAACCGCACCAUUUUCCCCAUGAAACAUGGGAAUUUCUAUGUCCAACACAUCUCUUAUAGUGACGAAACCAUUCAACUGUUAGACGUGAGUCUUGACAAGGAUAACUUUUUUAUACAAUGAAUUUAUAAGAUUGCUUGAAUGAUUUUAUUCCUAUUUGAGUGGAAAAUCAGCUAAGAGCUAUGAUUGGCUUGUGUUAAAGUGGUUGGCUUUAAUUUGUUGACCUGACUGACUUUUCGAACGAAGACAAGUGAGCAAGAAUAACCACACAUUUUCCCCAUGAAAUAUGAGAAUUUCCAUGUGGAAAAAGCCAUAUAAGUCUUAGAGGUGAGUCUUACCAAGCCACUCGGUAGGAGAUAGGGUAUACAUCUCCCUCAUCAUAAGUAUCCAUGCACGUCAAUAUAGGGUCAUGUGUAUCUCUUAAAUUGCAGGAUGAAGAUGAAUUCUUCGGUUUACAUUGAUGCUUUCCAUUGCACCAAUCGAUGUUCCUCUCCACGCUAUUUUGUUUCUUCAGUCAAAUUAUUGUCUGGUUAACAACUAAUGGAAAUGUAAGGACGGAAUAUUCACGUGAUAUGUUGCAUAAUUUAUACUAUAAUAUUUUAUCAUUGUUAACGGCACAAUUUGAUAAAAAGAUCAAAAUGAAAUCAUUGUAUUAUAUUUUGUGUAAAAUGCAUAAAAAAAAAGAAUUCUAAAUUUNNNNNNNNNNNNNNNNNNNNNNNNNNNNNNNNNNNNNNNNNNNNNNNNNNNNNNNNNNNNNNNNNNNNNNNNNNNNNNNNNNNNNNNNNNNNNNNNNNNNNNNNNNNNNNNNNNNNNNNNNNNNNNNNNNNNNNNNNNNNNNNNNNNNNNNNNNNNNNNNNNNNNNNNNNNNNNNNNNNNNNNNNNNUCUAUACUUAACAAAAGAUAAAUGUAAAAUAUAAAAUUGAUCAAUUUUGUUUAGAAUUAUUAUUUUAUAUAUUUUGAAAUUUUGAAAUUUCAAAAUAUAUAAUAUUAUUUAAGUCGUAUUAUAUAUUAUAUUAUUGAAGGCUUAUAUUAAUCUCCCUACUGUGCAGAUAUACUUGGAUGAAUUAUAAAGAUGUCUUUUCUAUCAGUUUCGCUACGUACCAAUUGGUUGGACACAUAUUUUAUUCUUUCUUAUUUGUUUGUGUUAAAAGUGUUUUGCGGUUUGGGUUUAAUUAGUUGACUGACUUUUCAGAAGAAGACUUGGUUUUAAUAAUAAAUAUAAGAGAACAUCACAGUACUUCUUCACAAACUAAUUAAGCCCUUAAUCUCCUCUCCCGCUGAAAUUUUAGGAUGCUAAGAGCAAAACUUCCAUUAUUUUGCCCCUUGGCUUUUGCUUUAUCUCUAUUCCCCGAUGCAUGCAUGGCUAGGGGCAAAAACAAGGACUGUGGCUCUUCUUUCUGUGGAGAAGUUACCAUCAAAAAGCCCUUUCAGUUAAAAAGCCAACCUCUCAGGUGUGGAAACCGUGGGCUUGAAGUCGAGUGUGACGACAAUAACCGCACCACUUUCCCCAUGAAAUAUGGGAAAUUCCUUGUCCAAGACAUCUCUUAUAAUAACGGCACAAUUCAUAUUAUAUUAUAUUUUUAUGUAUGUUUGUAUCUAUAGUAUUAGUUGUUUAAACUUUUUGGGUGCAAUUCUUUUUCAUAUAUAAUUAACAGCUUUUAUAAAACAGCAGUCUUUGUCACUAUAUAUGCUUGUAAAUCUCUCUUUAACUGCAAUUUUUUUGUCCAAAAUACUUCUAAUAAAAGAUUGUAUAGAGCAGCCAAAUUUGUAAAGUUCUAUCCUAAUUAAAACACUUUCAAUAACAUCUUAAAAAAAUUAAAUGCCAAAGUUAUUGUAGUGUGUUUUUCCCCUUUGGCUCUAGACUCUAGUUUAUUAAAUUUUCAAAGGAAGAUUUGCUUUCAUUUGCAGCCACAGAAUGAUAAGCAGAGCUACCAAGAUAAGAUUAUCUUAGUUCUUAUUUAAUCUUUCUUUUCAAACUUUUUUAUGCAUAUAAAAAAAUGUGAAAUAUGGACGGAUUAGUUCUUUUAGACUUAAUAGGUUGAUGGUGAAAUUUUAAGACUACACAACAUAUUUAUAGGAUUGUUUUUUAUUUAUAUUUUAUUGGGGGUUAAUAUUAGUCUCCCAACUUAGACGAAUAACAAAAAUUCCUUUGCUAUCAAUUUCGUUAUCAAUCAGUUGCAUACGUUAUUUUCUUCACUUAAUUUCUAUGUGGAAAAAGCCAUAUAAGUCUUAGAGGUGAGUCUUGACAAGGAUAACUGCUCCAUUCCUUAUAGUUCCUAUCCUUGCUACAGCCCUUGUGGAAAAAGCCUAUCACUUGGUAGAAGAUAUGGUAUACAUCUCCCUCGUCAUAUGUAUACAUGCACCUCAAUAUAGGGUCAUCUAUCUCUUAAAUUGCAGGAUGAAGAUGAACAUUUGGUUUACAUCGAUGCUUCUCAUUCCACCAAUCGGUGUUCCUCUACAUCUUCUUUUGUUUCUUCGGUAUUUUACAUUGUUAAUGGGACAAUUUGAUAAAAAGAUCAAAAUAAAAUUGUUUCAAAAUAUUAUACACAUGAAAAAAUAUUACGAAUUUAAUUUGAUUACUUUAUUGCGAAAGUUGCAAAAAUAAUUGUAGAAGCAUGUAUAAUGAUUAUGGGCAUUAUUUGAAUAGAUAUUUUUCUCCUUUUUCGCGUCCGACUGAUCGUAACUUAUCUUCAAAUUCAAAUAAAAAAGAAAAAAAAUUCAAGACUGAGAGUAUUUUAGAUAGUCAUUCAAGAGCUUGACUGAUUUCAUAUUGGUCUGUGCAACAAAUUUGCAAAUUUUUUAAAAGACAACUUUGAACUUUAGACAUGCAUAAUUUUUUUAAUACACAGGGAAAAUGUAUAUAUAAAGUACAAGGAAAGAUAUAUCUAUAUAAAUUAAAUUAAUUUUACACACCCUUUUAUAUUUUUUUAUACAAUUUAUAUUUUGUUAAUCCAAUCAUUGAUUUCAAAUUAUAUUCACAUAAAUCAUGCAUAACAGAUUUCAAAUUAAUUAAAACUGAUUAACUAUUUAUUUGAUAAAAAUAAAAUUUCAAUUGUUAAAUAUAUUGAAAAAAUAAACAUUUUACCAAAUUGACUUUGAAAUUACAUGAUAAGUACAAGUUGUUAAAUCUAACAAUAAAAUAUUAAUUUUUAAAGAAAUUAUAAAAAAUGUAAAACUAAUUAGUUUUACGCAAAAAAAUUAAUUUAUUGUUAUUUAGGCUUUUGUGUGCAAUUUUUUCAUAUUUAACAGUAGUUGAAAAUAUGCGGUCUUUACUAAUAUAUGCAUGUGAUAUUUUUGUCCAAAAAUUACCAAAAACAUAUAGAACUGCGAAAUCCGUAAUGUUGUAUGGAAAAGGAUUUUUAACAACACAAGCGAAAGAAAAAAUUUAAUAAAUACAAAGUUAAUAUAGUUUGUUAUUUCCACUUAUUCAAAGGAAGAUUUGAUUUCAAUUGCAGCCACAGGAAUAUUUAGCAAAGCAAUGAAGGUAACAUUAUCCUAACUCUUAUUUAAUCUUUCUGGUUAAACUUUUUUUUACAUAAUAUUCCCAAAAAAAAACUUUUUAUACUUAUAAAAAUUAAAUAUAAGAUAUAUGGAGAUUGAUCAAUUUUACUUAGAAUUAUUAUUUUAUAUAUUAGCAAUGGAAUUUUGAAAUUCCAAAUUUUAUAACAUUAUGUAAGUCACAUUGUAUUUAUUUAUUUAUUGAGGGGUUAUAUUAGUCUCCCUACCGUGCAGAUAUGCUUGGAUGAAUUAGAAAGAUUUCUUUUCUGUCAGUUUCGUAAUGUAUCAAUUGGUUGGACACAGAUUUUCUUCUUUCUUGUUUGUUUGUUUGCGUGGAAAAUCACCCAUGAUUACUAUGAUUGGCUUUGUGGUAAAAGUGUGUUGCGGUUUGGGUUUAAUUAGUUGACUGACUUUUCAAAAGAAGACUUGGUUCUAACAAUAAAUCUAGGAGAACAUCAUAGUGCUUCUUCACAAACUAAUUAAGCCCUUAAUCUCCUUCUCUCCCGCUGAAAUUUUAGGAUGCUAAGAGCAAAACUUCCAUUAUUCGGCCUUCUGGCCCUUGCUUUAUCUCUAUUCCCUGAUGCAUGCAUCGCUAGAGGCAAACACAAGCACUGUCGCUCUUCUUCCUGUGGAAACAUUAACAUCACUUACCCUUUUCGAUUAAAAAGCCAGCCUCAUAGGUGUGGUUACAAUGAGCUUGAACUAGUGUGUGAGAAUAACCGCACCAUUUUCCCCAUGAAAUAUGGUUAUGGGAAUUUCUAUGUCCAACACAUCUCUUAUAGUAACAAAACCAUUCAAAUGUUAGACGUGAGUCUUGACGAGGAUAACUGCUCCAUUCCUCAUAGUUCCUACCCUUUCUACGUGGAUGCACUAAAUAUAUAUUCCUAUCAAACUACCACUGAACCUAGCAUCAUGUAUCUCGUAAAUUGCCCGAUCCAGAUCAACAACUCUUGGGUUUAUAUUGAUGCUUUUCGUUGUACCAAUACCCCUUCCUCUCGACCUCCUUACUUUUACUUUUUGGAUGAAAAUACUGCAAUGUCUAAUUUCCAUGAGUCAUGCACAGUUGAAGCGCAGGUUCCAAUCAUGGUUGCCAAUAUCACUGGCCUCUCUACUUUUGAUAUUUACACAAAGCUGUUGGAGGGAUUCCAACUCUCAUGGUCUUCGUAUGAUGAUAUGUCAAGGUGAGACUCAGUUUUUAACGCGUGAGGAUUUUUAAGUAUUCCAAACUAUUUGGUGCAUUUUAGUUUUUGAAAAGUAUUUAUUAUUUUUAGUUUUUAAUUUUUAAAUUACCUUUUUAACUAUGUAUAUAAAUUUUUAUAAUUAGAAUCACAAAUUUUUAUUACUGUAGUAUCUUCUUCAGACUUUGAUUAUUUACUUUUACUCUAAAUUUGUUUAAUGUAAAAUUUAAACAGAAGCAUUUAAAAUAUUUUAAACAGUGAAAGUGCGCAUUUCAUGGCCUUAUUAAGGAUAACGGUUUUGAUGUGCUUUCUUGAAUAUUAAUUAUAGAUUGCUCUGGCUGUUGCUGCAUCCGCUGCAAAUAUAUAUUCAAAGCAUCAUGGCUUUGUUUCAACCAGAUUAUUUCUAUGCACCUUAUAAAGGUAUUCGUUCUUUUUUGAGUUCAUUAAUAAUUUGAUUCUUAUUGGAUUGGCCUUUACUUUCCUGUAUAGUUGACUUGACUCUUUACGUGCAUCAUAAGUAAACUGUUAAAUUUAAUAGUUGGUUUAUUAAAAUAUUAAUAGUAUACGAAGUUAUAAAAAAUUUAUAAAAAUUAAUUAAUUAAUUUUAUAGUGGUGUUGUGUGAGUAUCGCAUAUAUGUAUACGUAUGUAUCCAAGUGACUACAUAAAAGAAGAUCCAUCAUAAAUGAUUCAUAAAUAAUUUUGAACUACAUUAAUUGGGUAUUUUUUAACUAGGUAUUUUUAUGAUGUUGUGAUUUUUUUGGUCAAAAUAAAAAUUAUGUGGAAUAAGGUCUAAAUUUACCAUUCUAUAUAUUUCGGAUAAUGGAUCAAACUUGUCAGCAUCUUUGAACGGGUGUAAUUUUGCCAUUAUACUUUUAAAUUAGUUAAAAAUGUAAUCAAAAGUUAAGACUAAUGUUAAUUUUUGACCAUUUUUGAAGUAAAUUAAAAUGUAUAAUGGUAAAAAUUGCACUUGUUUAAAAAUAAAAUAAUAAAUUUGAUCCAUCACCUUAAAUAAACUAGUGUGUGUAAAUUUAAAUUUUAUCCCAAAUUAUGUUAUGAAUUUUGUUGGGGAAAAUAUGGCAGCACAUACCCAACUUAAAUUGGUAAAUGACAUAUGCAUAGCAUAUAAUCAUGUUGUCCAACUAAUUAAUAUAUAUAUUGUUAUGUAAUUUUUUUUUUGUGAAACAGGAAUUAUAUUGCUAAGAACACUUUUGGGGAUAAUUUGCUUGAUUAUAUUGGUUAUACGCAAAUUAAAAAGGAGGCAUUUGUCGAUGGAUGACAUGAUUGAGAAUUUUCUUCAGAGUCAAAACAAUUUAAUGCCUAUAAGAUAUUCUUAUUCUGAAAUAAAAAGAAUGACGGAAGGUUUCAAGAAUAAACUAGGACAAGGAGGAUAUGGCUCUGUGUUUAAAGGAAAACUUCGAAGUGGUCAAUUUGUUGCGGUAAAAUUGUUAAACAAAUCAAAAGCUAAUGGUCAAGAUUUCAUCAAUGAAGUUGCAACUAUUGGAAGAAUUCAUCAUGUUAAUGUAGUAAGACUCAUUGGAUUUUGUGUGAAGGGAUCGAAACAAGCUCUUGUAUAUGACUUCAUGCAAAAUGGAUCCUUAGAUAAAAUAAUAUUUUCAACUGAAAGUAACACUUUGAGUUGGCAAAAAAUGUUUGAGAUUACAUUGGGAGUGGCUCGAGGUAUUGAAUAUUUACAUAGAGGUUGUGAAAUGCAAAUUUUACAUUUUGAUAUUAAGCCACAUAACAUUCUUCUAGAUGAGAACUUCAUCCCGAAAGUUUCAGAUUUUGGCCUUGCAAAAUUGUAUUCGGUGGAUGAUAGUAUUGUCUCUCUCACGGCUGCAAGAGGUACAUUAGGAUAUAUGGCUCCUGAAUUGUUUUAUAAAAAUAUUGGAAGCAUCUCAUAUAAAGCUGAUGUUUAUAGUUUUGGAAUGAUGUUAAUGGAAAUUGUCGGAAGGAGAAAAAAUGUGAAUGUCUCUGCUGAACAUUCGAGUCAAAUUUAUUUUCCAUCAUGGAUUUAUGAUCGACUUGAAGAAGGAGAUAACAUAGAGCUUAGAGAUGUAACGGAGAAUGAAAACAAAAUUAUGAGGAAAAUGUUAAUAGUAGCCUUUUGGUGCAUACAGAUGAAGCCCACAGAUCGUCCUUCAAUGAGCAAAGUCUUGAAGAUGCUUGAAAGUGAAGUUGAGCUCCUUGAAAUGCCUCCCAAGCCUGCUUUCUCUUGAAAUGUCAACCAAAUCAUUUGGUGUUGUAUUAUAAGUAAUAUUUAAUAUUGUAUGUUAAGCAAUGUUUCACUACUUUAUUAUAUUACUUUUAUAAUUUUUAUAGUAGAAACCUUAAGCUUGAGGCAUAAUCUUCUCUCUUCCAAAAAAAAACAAAAGAAACAAAAACAAUAUAGAGUGGUGAUGAAGAUAGUAUAGCAAGGAAAAGAAGGAUACUGAGUUGGAGUUUUGAGCCUGCGAAGGUAUUAUUUUAGGAGAUUUGUAAUGGUAUCUUGUUAGUAUUUUGUUUAUAUAAAAAGUCUUUUGUUCAUACAAAGGGCAAAGACUUUAAAUAGCAUUGUCUAUACAAUCAUUAUGUUAAUGCAAAUAGUUAACCAAGUUUUUAAAAAAAUUAAAGAUUUUUCUAAACCAUGUUUGGAAUUAUAAAUUUUUUAUUUAAAAAAUGUAAAUUAUUUGAGUUUUCUCUCUUAAUUAAAAAAGUCAAAUGUUAUCGAAUUCAAAUAUUUAUUUAAAACGAUUCAAAAUCAAAUUCAAUUUAAUUCAAAUUAAAUGACAAAAAUUAAAAAUUUGAAUCCAAAAAUAUGUGAAUUUAAAAUGAUAUUAAUACAAUCUACCUUCAACAUAACUCGAAUCUAAAACGAACCGAGCUCAUAAUGAUCCAAAACCCAAGAUUUAUUUGAUCCAAAACUUAUAAAAACUUAUAUUUAUAACUCCAAAAAAUCCAAAUUAUAAUUAAAUAAAUUUAUUUAAUAGCUAAAUGAGUAAAUGAUUAUUUUUUAAGUGAAAAUUUUAAGACACACAAGCACCUUUUUCUCGUCAAUGCUUUUUCUUUGCACAGAAAAAGCGCAUAGGAAUGGCAUGGUCAACUACUCUGCUUCACCUUCACUUCAAAUUCCCUCCGGUUUCUUCUCAUCAAUUGCCACAUUCCCUCCCCAAAAAAUCCCCAAUCUUCCUAAACCCUAUCCCUAUAAUUCCCAAUUCCAAACACCCCAAAAUGCAAUUCCUUCACAGACCCAACGCGUUUCCAGGCCAAGGCGCAGUAUCAAAAGCCAUGGACAUCAUCCAAUCCUCUCUGCCCACGUGGCAAUCGGCCUUCCUCAGCAACCUCGUGAUCUUCGUUGUCGGAACCCCACUUUUAAUAGCGGGACUAUCUCUCUCCGGAAUUUGCGCUGCCUUCUUGCUUGGCACUCUCACUUGGCGCGCUUUUGGGUCUUCUGGGUUCCUCCUCGUUGCUUCUUACUUCGUUAUAGUGAGUCAUUACAAAGUCUAUGGAUUUUAUUUGAAUUAUAGGAUUUAAGUUAAAUUUAGAAAUGGGGUUCUGAUUUUUGUUCCCAUUUGGUAUAAAGUUUACGCUUUGGAGGACAAGUUUCAUUGUUUGGUAAAUAUGGCAAAGGAAAAGAAAUUUAGUUUAUGUCAAAAAGAUUUCAUGUGACGUAGUUUGUUAUUUAAGUGUGAUUUGUUUUUGUUUAAAGAAUUGGAUUACACUAGGUGAAAUCAGGUCAAAACCAUAACCAAAAUAUUUUUUCCAAAAUUUCUUUAUUUUCAUUUGUUUUCCUCUUGGUGGGGGGCAGGUGGAGGAGCCAGGGAGAAUUUAUGGGUUCUCGCAGUUUUAGACUAGUUUGAAACGAUAUAGUAUUGUUUUUCCUGCUUUCCUUUCUGAUAAUGGCUUGUUUUACUUGCAAAAUGAAUCUUGAAUUAGUUCCUCCUUCCCUCUUCUGAUUUUCCCUACCCAUAUUUCUAGUUGAAGAUAAUAGUUUCAAAUCAUGCUUGAAAACUAUAUUACAAAAUACUUGUAAUAUCAAACAAUUUUGUGUGGCAUUCGAGUUUCUAAUUUGAAUGGAGAAAUAAUUGGGAUGGAAGUGGUAUUAAAUUUAGAGGAAAGAAACAAGAAUGCCUUUUGCAACAUUACAAAGAAAAGAAAAGAAAACCUAGUAUAAAACUUCGGAAGAUGCUUGAUUAUAAGGUGCUGGGCUUUUGAGGACCUGAGACUUCAUAAUACUUUAUAAUUCUCUAGAUCUUCAGGCAAUCUUACAGCUCUUUGUCAUGCCUCUAAAACAAAUGCGGUAAAACCAUGCUCAAUUGUUCAAAUUGUUAUGCUCAAUUGAGAACUCCUGACCUGUUAUGUGUGUGUGGAGAUGAUAACACCAAUGAAUGGCCUUGUUAUACGGAUGACCGCUCAUGAUAAUUGCUACUUCAAAAAUUAUUGGCUUAGAUUUUGCUGCUGUGUUUUGAAACUUGUUGGCAUGCCUCACGAAUGCUGCGAAAUGUGCAGAAGGUUUCUGAGAUCUUGCUGCCAUCUAAGAAGAAAGAAUAGGUGAAAUUGUACAGGUACUAUGAAUAUGAUGUAAUGUUUAGCUUUUUUAUAGGGACUUCCUUUUUGUAUAGUGAACUUGGUUGCAUUGGAAUGAGUCUGUUCUCUGGGAAGAAUCACUGUUCUGAAAUUUGUUAAGUCUGAUCACAAUUGCAACCAGGAGCGGCAUGCCUUGCUUUUCUUCUCAUAGGGCAUGAGGGUAUCCCAUCAGGGUUCUUUUUGUGAACCCCUCUUAUGAAAUAACAUCUUCUAUGCCUUUCCAAAAAAAAAAAAGUAACAAUCACAUGGCAUAAUUUUUUCUUACAAUAUGAGAGUACUACAUCAGAGUUUCUUAAUGCACUAAGAAAAGUUAGAGAUAAGGUCUAAGAAAAUAUCAAUUUCAAGAAGAAACAAAUAACACUAGAAUCAUAUUUUACAAAAAUAUCAUAAUUGAGUCAUGUAUAUAAAUAAUUUUGAUGUAUGAGGAAAUUAUUAAUUUAUAUAUCAAGUGAGAUCUAUGUGUUUUUUUUCAAAAUGUAUUAUCUUAUUAAUUUAACAAAUUAUUAAUUUAUCAUGUUGAUCUCAAAUCAGGACCAACCAAAAUUAAUAUUUAUUCAAAAUUAUUAAUUUAUCAAGUAUUAUUUAUAGAAGAUUUGUUGUACUUCUUUGUAAUUCACUCUAAAUAAAAGGGUAUGUUGAAACAAGCGGAAUUUAGAUCCCUUAUGGUUCUUGCUACAUUUAAGUACUAUUAAUGUCAUUUAUGCUGGUUAUAAAGAUCUGACAUUUUAUUUAGAAACAAAAUUUGUAGAGUGUCAAGCUUUAAUAGCUUUUUUUUUUUGUUGCUUUUUAAUGUUUAUAUUCGUUGCUAUAUACUAUUUUUUUCCCUAUCAAACCAUUCUUUCAUGCUUACAAAUUUAAAUUUGUGGUGUGCAAAAAUUGUUGGUGUAUUUUCAAAAAUCAAAGGUUAUGUCACAUAAUCAAAAGCUAUCUUAGCUCAAAGGUUUGUCACAUAAAGUGACAUAGUGUGACUAUUGGAUUGUAGACAGGUUAUNUUGGUGUAUUUUCAAAAUCAAAUGUUAUGUCACAUAAUAAAAAGCUAUUUUAGCUCAAAGGUUGUCACAUAAAGUGACAUAGUGUGACUAUUGGAUUGUAGACAGGUUAUUGUUUCAUUAGAUAUGAAAAGUUAUUGUUUCAAAUUAUAACUCAAAGAUUAUGAUUUAUGGAAUGAAUAGUUGUCCUUUCAUUAGAUGAUUAUUGAAACAAUACAUUUAUCUUAAAGUUGUGUCUAGCAAAAUGUAAAGAUGUCUUUUAGACAAAAUGGUGUCUUAAUAAAAGGGUUGUGUCCUUGAAGAAGAGACACUUGCAAGCCUAUGUAAAGGGCUUGUUGCCAACCAUUUUUACACAUCAAAUCAAAAACAAAACAAGAACAGAAAAUCAAGAGUAAGAAAGUGUUGUGUUCUAUUAACAUAAACACUUAAGUUCCCAUCAACUACAAAAGCAUCAAAAUUUCUUAUAAUCUACUUGUUGUAGAAAGUAAGCUCUAAAGCCAAACAACUUUGCAAACCCUUAGAUAUAUCUAGUGGUCUACUCUCGUAAAGUGCAAGACAAAGUUAAACGUUAGCUUCAUUGUAUCCUUAAAACUAUUCGCAUUAUUUCUCUUUGCAUACUGAGUGGUGGGGAUGAAAUAAGUUUUAAAAAUAAUGUCUAUUGAAAAGCUCGCCUUAAAAUCAAUUUUGUUGGUUCUUAAAUUUCAUCUAAACCUCAUUUGCACCAACAAAAAUGAACAGGUACCUACUUUACUUUAUUAUUCUACUUUUAUUAUAUAAUUUUUAUAGUCUCCUUUUUCAUCUUAUAUACGGAAUCAGAUCCAUAUAGAAACCUUAAGCUUGAGGCAUAAGCUUCUCUCUUAUGAAAAUAAAAUAAAAUAAAAUAAAAUAAAAAUCAAGAGCAGUAUAUAUACCAUUGUGAAUGAAUAAAGUAUAAAAUCAUAGUGCCUUUUGAGAUACAAAACAUUGUGAAUGCGACAAGAAGUAUUAGUUGUAAUGUGUUAAUGGUCAUUUUUAAAUCAAAUUAAAAAUGUUACUAUUAGCAAUAUCAAGAAUUGCCAAGGAGAAAUUCAUUGAUAAAAUGACAAAUACCCGAAUUCUCUUCAUUGGCAACUUUACUAAAAAUCACUUUCAACGAAAAAAAAUUAGUAAAAGAUCUUCCAUAUUAUCUCUAUAUAUAGUAUAAUAUCAAAAUUUAGUAUUCUAAAAAUUUUAUUUUAUGCUGUUUUAGUACUAACAUAUUUUAAACAAUAUCAUUGUUUAUAUUAUUAUUACACGGACACUACUUACAUAUAAUAUAUAUAUAUAUAUAUAAAAGAUAAUAGCAUUGUUAGCUUUAUUAGAAUGAAUAAUUGAUUUUUUUUAAAAAUAGAAUGAAUAAUCUAACGAGAUGAAUUGGAUUUUAAAAACUUUUUUUGACAAAAUAAAAUCUAAAAAAAAAACACAUCAAAUAAUAAAAUCAAAACCAUUAAAUAAAUAUUUAACUGAAAAUAAAUGUAAUAAAAAUAAAUAGUAUAGGGUAAAAAUAUUUGCAAGAACCAUUUAUAAAGGUUCAAUCUUGUCUCUUGGUAUUUAUGUCACAAGUCUACUUUCUAAUCCAAAAGACAUGCAUAUUAAGUAAAGAUAGACAUUUAUUUAUAAAUCCAAGACUCAACUCAUCUCUUAUUAAUGUAAGAUCUAUCACAUUCUACCUCACCUAAUUGUUCAAUACGUUCGUUGCAUCGGCUCCUUUACUCAUAGAGGAGAGGGACCGUAUCUUGAUCUAAGUCUACCUCGAACCUGAUAUCUUUUAUAAAAGUUUCAUACUAGUUAAGAGUUAAGUUUGCUCUAAUACCACUAAUCACGAGUUCACAUUUCUAAUCCAAAAAAUAUACAUAUUAGAUAGAGAGAGGCCCUUAUUUGUAAAUCAAGACCCACCCAUAUGACACUUACAUUCUCUCUCUUAGUGUAGUAAAGAGUUCAAUACACUACUUAAUUCAACCAAUACAAAUACUAUUUUCUUGCGUAUCCAAAACAUGCAAAAAAUGCUCUACUUCCCUAUGUGAUACCUCAGAUGAAAUAAAUUAUUUCCUCAUCUUUAAAAGAAAAUACAAUAAUUGUAAAUUUUAUUUUUCUCCUAUUUUAUGUAACAGCCUCAACUUUGACUAAGGUUAUAAAUUACUUGUGUUGAACCAUUUGAUAACUUGCCAUGAGAUUUAAACAUAUGUAUUAAAUAUAUGAACAAAUGACAAUGUGUUUAAGGAUCUUGAAUGAUAAACUAUUAGGGUAAAAUACCCUUACCCCUCUAAGUUUUGAUUGAAAUUACAUGGAGGUCCAUUAGUUUUCAAAAUAGACACUCCGCCCCAAAAAAAUAUUUUUCACUGGACAUUUAGGUCCAGUUGUUAGUCAACCAUUAGUGUUUCCGUCAAUUUGAUGAUGUGAUAAGGGUAAAAACAUAAUUUCACCAUUGAUUAAUUUUUAAAAUUACUAUUAUAUAAUUUUAUUAAUUUUUUAAUUAAUUAAAAUAAAAAAGCUCCUCAAGGAGCAUUAAAGCUCCCUGGGAAGCACCAAUCGGGUGCUCCCCUCCCUUGAGGAGCACGAUGCUCUCUUUUUUAAAAUUUUUUUAAACAUAUAAUAUAAUUUUUAAAAUUUAUAUAAAAAAAAGAAAAGACAUUUUAGUCUUUUCCUAAUCUCUAUUAACGGUAUUUUCAUUUUUAGGACAAAGUGUCCAUUUCAAAAACUAAUAGACCUGCUUAAAAUUUGAACUAAAACUUAAAAGGUAGGGGUAUUUUACCCUAAAAUAUUAUGUUUUUGAUUAGAUUUUAGACCUUAAGCUAUGUGUUGAUAUGUUUUGACACUGAAUAUUGGUUAAUGUGGUGCAUACUAGUUGCAUUAAGAUGAAUAUUGAAAUAACAAAUCGUUUUGGAAGUCCAAAUUUGGAGUUAGGUAGUUUGAAGUGUUGAAAGUUUGCCUUUAGGAGAAAAUGUAUUGAUAAAUUCCUUGAUCUAUCAAUACAUUCAUGGCAGAAUGCCUUGGCAAAGCUUUCUAUCAAUACAUUCUAGAAUGUUUCGAUAGAUUUGGGCCAGGAGGCAUUCUAUAUGAAAACUCUCGAACAUUACAAGAACGUAUUGAUAGAUUUAAAAAGAUGGAUAUUUUGUAAAAAAGGUAUUUAUAGAUUUUCUUGAUCGAUCGAUACAUUUCAAGCAUAAAGCAUUCUUUUAAAUUUACUUCAAUAUGUUGGUACAUGUAUCGAUAGAUCUGAUGAAAAUUCGUGAAAAUGUAUCAAUGCAUGAUUGUAAGUCAGCAAAAAUAAAAGAGACUUUGGGCAUUCCACCCAUUUGAAAACACAAGGAAACAAAAGCUUUCCCUCCUUGCCUUUGAAACCCUAAAACCCCCUAGUAGAUUGGAACUAAUUUGGAGUACUUGGAAGCUUGGAAAUUCAUACUUAAGGUAAGAUCAAGCUUCCUAACAUUUUGAAUUACAUUUUAAUCGGUUCAAAAAUGAGAAUUUGACUAUGGUUUCAUCUCAAUUAUCUUCUCCUUGAGUUGUUGGGAUUUUGGAGUCUUAAGGGCUUAGAAUAGCUGCCAAGGUGAGGAAACCUAACUGUUUUGAACAUUGGAAACAAUGAAACCUAUGAUUUGGAUUGGUAGUUGGAUUUAGAAGCUCAGUUAGGCUUAGAAAAUCUGUGCAUGCUUUGAAAAAAGCUAAAGGUCUAGAAUUUAUGGAUUUGUUAGGUGAAGUGGGAACUUAGAGCUGUUGAUGAACUGAAAUUCUAUGUGGAAUGAUGGACGCAGUGUUUAGCUGAGUGUGAUGUCUUGGCUUCUUCUUGGAAGAAUGUUGCAGCACUAAAACUUUACUAUUUAGCAAUGUGAGUUACGUUAGAGAUAUUCUAGGUCAGUGGGGCAUUUUAUCUAGAAAUUAAGAUUUGAUGUAUGUAUGCACAAAUGUAUGCAUGUGCACUGCCAUGAAACAUGAUUGGUUGAUAAAAUGCUUAGAUGAACUAUGCAUAGGCCGAUGGGUUGAUUGAGCUCUAUUAUAGCUAUGUAUGUUAAUAAUAAAAACCUGUUUGAUAUUGGGUGAGCCAUGUGGUGGUGAUUGAGCUUGACUGUCUUAGUAUUCGCGACUAAAAAGUCUAUUGACCAUGCCUCUGCGCUUGUAUAAAACUUAUAACUUGAUACCUUUUUCUGUGGUAGCGUAUGAUUAUUGCUAAUUCUACGAAAUAAUGUUAUUAGUGAACUAUGGAAAAUCUGAAUUAUGAAAGUUGAUUGAGUUGCAUUCGUAAUUAUGCAUGUAUGAUGCCAAAUGGCUAUGUUAAUGACUUUUGCACAUGUAAUGGCGACACAAUUCCUAAUGGUAAUUGGUUUCGUCUUACGAGUGCUUUCUGGACGAUGAUAUGGUCUAGUUAGAAGGUGUCAUAGUCCCUGUGGUCUUGCUUACCAUUAGCAGUUUAGGCGUUGGACGUGUUUUGUUUACUUGGGAAGACCCUUCUCUUGUUACCAUCUUGAUGAUAACACAAUUUAAUUAGUUGACUUGACUGUCUUUUCAAUCCAAGACAAGUGAGCGAGAAAAACUGCACCAUUGCUCCAUGAAACCUUACAACUCUUAGACGUGAGUCUUGACCUCAUCGAUAGUUCCUAUCCUUGCUACACUCCUUGUGGAAAAAGCCUACCACUCGGCAGAAGAUAUGGUAUGCAUCUCCCUCAUCAUACAUGCACCUUAACAUAGGGUCAUGUAUCUCUUAAAUUGUAGGAUGAAGAUGAAGUCUUCGGUUUACAUUGAUGCUUUCUCAUUGCACCAAUCGAUGUUCCUCUCCACAUUAUUUCAUUCUUCAGUCAAAUUAUUCAUUGUUAACAACUAACGGAAAUGUAAGUGUGGAUUAUUCACGUGACAUGUUAAAUAAUUUUUACCAUGAUAUUUUAUUACUGUUAACAGUACAAUCUGAUAAAAAGAAUAAAAUGAAACCAUUUUAAAAUAUUAUGUGUAAAAUAUAUGAAAAAAGAUUAUAGAUUUAAUUUGAUUACAUUGCUGCCGGACUUACCAAAAUAAUUGUAGAAGCAUGUCUAAUGAUUAUAGGCAUAGCUCUUCAAAGAAAAAUACUGUUUUAUACUUAACAAAAAGAUAAAUGUAAAAUAUAAAAUUGAUCAAUUUUGUUUAGAAUUAUUAUUUUAUAUAUUUUGAAAUUUUGAAAUUUCAAAAUAUAUAAUAUUAUUUAAGUCGUAUUAUAUAUUAUAUAAUUGAAGGGUUAUAUUAAUCGCCUUACUGUGCAGAUAUACUUGGAUGAAUUAUAAAGAUUUCUUUUCUAUUAGUUUCGCUACGUAUCAAUUGGUUGGACACAUUUUAUAAUAAAUAUAAGAGACCAUCAUAGUGCUUCUUCACAAACUAGGACCUUAAUCUCCUUCUCUCCCGCUGAAAUUUUAGGAUGCCAAGAGCAAAACUUCCAUUAUUUUGCCUCUUGGCUUUUGCUUUAUCUCUAUUCCCCGACUGAGGCUCUUCUAUCUGUGGAAAUGUUACCAUCAAAAAGCCCUUUAAGUUAAAAAGCCAACCUCUCAGGUGUGGAAACCGUGAGCUAGUAGUCGAGUGUGACGAUAAUAACCACACCAUUUUCCCCAUGAAAUAUGGGAAAUUCCUUGUCCAAGACAUCUCUUAUAAUAACGGUACAAUUCAACUUUUAGACGAGAGUCUUGGCAAUGAUAACUGCUCCAUUCCUCAUAGGUCCUAUCCUUUGUACAUCCCUUUUGCGAAAAAACAACGUCUCUAUGAAGAUACCACUGAAUUUAGCAUCAUGUAUCUCGUAAAGUGCACGAUGCAGAUCAACUACUCUCGGGUUUAUAUCGAUGCUUUUCGUUGCACCAAUACUCCUUCCUCUCUACCUCCUUACUUGUAUUUUUUGGAUAAAAAAACAGCAAAGUCUGAUUUCCAUGAGUCAUGCAGAAUUGAAGCCCAGGUUCCAAUCAUGGUUGCCAGUAUCACUGGCCUCUCUACUUCUGAUAUUUACACAAAACUGUUGACGGGGUUCCGACUCUCAUGGUGGGAUUAUGCUUAUCAGUUUGGCUGGCUGCGGUGGGACUCAAUUGUUAACGUGUGAGGAUCUUUAAGUAUUCCAAAAUAUUUGGUGCUGUUUAGUUUUUGGAAAUGUUAACUAUUUUUAUUAUAAAUAAACAAAUAAGAUAAAAAUUUUAGUCUUUAUUUCUUUUUAAAAAGUUGACAACAUUUUUAAAUUACUAUUUUAACUAUGUAUAUUAAUUUGUUAUCUAAAAUUUAAACUCGAUAUUUUUAAAGAAUUACAGACUUUAAUUCUAUUAAUGUAGUGUCUACUUCAGACUUCAAUUAUUUCCUUUAAAUAUGUUUAGUGUAAAAUUUAAAGAUAAGGAUUUAAAGCAUUUUUAACAGUAAAAGUGUGCAUUCCAUUUAACUUAUUAAGGAUUAGCGGUUUUGAUGUUCUUUCUUGAAUAUUAAUUAUAGAUUGCUAUGGGUUUUAAAAAAAAAAGGAAGUAUAGAUUGCUAUCCUUGGUCAACCUUUUGCUGGCUCCGCUGUUUAUAUUUAUUGAAAGCAACGCGGCUCUUCUGCUAGGCAUCCCAACAGAGGAUUCAUUGGUAGAUAACAAAGGUGUUCUUUCUUUUCUGAGUUUGUUACUAUUUUGAUUAUUAUUGGAUUUACCUUUACUUUCCUAGGAUCUAUUAACACUUAGUUCUCGAAUCGGUAAAAUCUUAGCAUGAAUCCAGAUUUAUAUUUAUAUAUCAUUAAUUUAACAAUUGUAUUUCGUAAUCUAUUUACUUAUAUCAUGCAUGAUAAAUUUUAAGUUAAUUGAAAAUAUUUAAUUAUUUAAAUGAGAACAUUAAAAUUUUGACCAUUAAAUAUAUAUUAAAAAACCAAUAUUCUUGAGCAAUACGAUAUGGAUUAUCACAUUGAUUUGAAAUUUUAAAUGUAUGAUGAGUACGAAUAGUGUAUGAAAUUAUAAAAAGGUGUAAAACUUAAUUAAUUUUUAACUUGAGCCCUCAAAUUUAUAUAGUUUGUAUGAGUAUUGCAUAUAAAGUAUAUGUAUGUACAAAGAGAUUCCAAUAAAGGAUAAAAUUAUUUAAUAAGAGACGAUAUACUAUAAAUAAUUCAUGAAUAAUAUUGAACUACAUUAAUUGGGUUUUUUUCAGUUAGGUAUUUCUAUGUUGUUACGAUUUUUUUGGUCAAAAUAAAAAUUUUGUCCAAGUUUAUCAUAUUACUUGAAUGAGUACAAUUUUGUCAAUAUACUUUUAAAUUUGUUAAAAGAGAUCAAAAGUUACAAAAUGAACUAAAAUGUACAAUGAUAAAUAUUACACUCGUUAAAAAAAUAAAUAGUAAAUUUGAUCCAUCACCUUAAGUCUAGUGGUGAUAAAUUUAAACCUUAUCUCAAAUUAUUUUAUGAAGUUUGUUUGUGAAAUAUGGCAACAUAUACACAAAUUAAGUUAGUAACUAGCAUGUACAUAUUCUAUAAUCUUGUUGUCCAACUAAUUGGUUUAUAUAUAUGUUUUGUACUCUCUUUUUUUUUUUAUGAGAAACAGGAAUUAUAUUGUUAAGAACUUUUUUGGAGAUAACUUGCUUGAUUGUAUUUGUUAUACACAAAUUAAAAAUGUGGCAUUUGUCUAUGGAUGACAAGAUUGAGAAUUUUCUUCAGAGUCAAAACAAUUUAAUGCCUAUAAGAGACUCUUAUUCUGAAAUAAAAAGAAUAACAGAUGGCUUCAACAAUAAAUUAGGUCAAGGAGGAUAUGGCUCUAUAUUUAAAGGAAAACUUCGAAGUGAUCAACUUGUUGCAAUAAAAUUGUUAAACAAAUCAAAAGCUAACACCCAAGAUUUCACCAAUGAAGUUGCAACUAUUGGAAGGAUUCAUCAUGUUAAUGUGGUAAGACUUAUUGGAUUUUACGUGAAGGGAUCAAAACAAGCUCUUGUAUAUGACUUCAUGAAGAAUGGGUCCUUGGAUAAAAUUAUAUUUUCAACUGAAAAUAACACUUUGAGUUGAGAAAAAAUGUUUGAGAUUGCAUUGGGAGUGGCUCAAGGUAAUGACUAUUUACAUAAAGGCUGUGAAAUGCAAAUUUUUCACUUUGAUAUCAAGCCACAUAACAUUCUUCUAGAUGAGAAUUUUACUCCAAAAGUUUCAGAUUUUGGCCUCGCAAAUUUGUAUUCAGUGGAUGAUGAUAUUAUUUCUCUCACAGCAGCACGAGGUACGCUAGGAUAUAUGGCUUCUGAAUUGUUUUACAAAAAUAUCAGAGGUAUAUCAUAUAAAGCUGAUGUUUAUAGUUUUGGAAUGAUGAUAAUGGAAAUUAUCGGAAGGAGAAAAAAUUUGAAUGCCUCUGCUGAACAUUCAAGUCAAAUUUAUUUUUCAUCAUAGAUUUUUGAUCAAUUAGAUGAAGGAGAUACCAUGGAGCUUGGAGAUGUGACAGAAAUUGAAAACAAAAUUAUGAGGAAAAUGGUAAUAGUAACCUUAUGGUGCAUACAGAUGAAGCCCACAGAUCGUCCUUCAAUGAGCAAAGUCUUGAAGAUGCUUGAAAGUGAAGUUGAGCUCCUUGAAAUGCCUCCCAAGCCUUCUUUCUCCGGAAAUAUCAACUAAAGAUAGUAAAAAUUCUCCCUGCACACGUGGCAAUCGGCCUUCCUCAGCUACCUCGUGAUUUUCGUCGUUGGGACACCACUCAACAUCGUGAUCUUGCUAAAUCUGAUGCCCUUAAGUCGAUUACUUUUUCUGUAUUUAGUUUUUUGAGUGGUACGUAGUUUUUGUUUCCACCGAGAUCUAGCAGGCAGUGUUUGUAUUCUCUUUACCACCUUGGUUUGUUUUGUUUCUGCUACUUCUCUAUUUCCCUGUAUGCGACCUUUGAUGAAAUAAAUCAUUUCCUCACUUAUAAAAAAAUUGCAAGAAAAUGUAAAUUUUUUCCCUUAUUUUAUAAAAAGAAAAUGUGUUAUAUCUUAUAUUAUAUUUUUAUGUACCUAUGUAUCUAUAGUAUUAGUUGUUUAAACUUUUUGGGUGUAAUUCAUUUUCAUAGAUAAUUAACAGCUUUUAUAAAAGUGCAGUCUUUGUCACUAUAUAUGCAUGUAAAUCUCUCUUUAACUGCAAUUGUUUUGCCCAAAAUACUUCUUAUAAAAGAUUGUACAGAGCAGCCAAAUUUGUAAAGUUCUAUCCUAAGUAAAAUAUUUUUAAUGACACAAAUUAAAAAAAUUAAAUGUCAAAUUUAUUGUGGUGUGUUUUUCCCCCUUUGACUCUAGACUCUAGCUUAUUAAAUUUUCAAAGGAAGAUUUGCUUUCAUUUGCAGCCAGAGAAUGAUUAGCAGAGCAACCAAGAUAAAAUUAUCUUAGUUCUUAUUUAAUCUUACUUUUUAAACUUUUUUAUACAUAUAAAAAAAUGCAAAAUAUGGACUGAUUAGUCCUUUUAGACUUGAUUGGUCGAAGGUGAAAUUUUAAGACUAAACGGUGAAUUUACAAGAUUGCUCGAAUGAUUUUAUUCCUAUUUGAGUGGAAAAUCAGCUAAGAGCUAUGAUUGGCUUGUGGUAAGGUGGUUGGCUUUAAUUAGUUGACUUGACUGACUUUUCGAACGAAGACAAGUGAGCAAGAAUAACCACACAUUUUCCCCAUGACAUAUAUAUGAGAAUUUCUAUGUGGAAAAAGCCAUAUAAAUCUUGGAGGUGAGUCCUGACAAAAAUAACUGCUCUAUUCCUCAUAGUUCCUAUCCUUGCUACACCCCUUGUAGAAAAAGCUUACCAUGCCACUCGGUAGGAGAUAGGGCAUACAUCUCCCUCAUCAUAUGUAUGCAUGCACGUCAAUAUAGGGUCAUGUGUAUCUCUUAAAUUGCAGGAUGAAGAUGAAUUCUUCGGUUUACAUUGAUGCUUUCCAUUGCACCAAUCGAUGUUCCUCUCCACGUUAUUUUGUUUCUUCAGUCAAAUUAUUCUCUGGUUAACAACUAAUGAAAAUGUAAGGAUAGAAUAUUCACGUAAUAUGUUACAUAAUUUAUACUAUAAUAUUUUAUCAUUGUUAACGGCACAAUUUGAUAAAAAGAUAAAAAAGAAAUCAUUUUAUUAUAUUAUGUGUAAAAUACAUGAAAAGAAAAGAUUACAAAUUUUAUUUGAUUACAUUACUGCAGAACUUACAAAAAUAAUUAUAGAAGCAUGGCUAAUGAUUAUAGGUAUUAUUUGGAUAGAUAUUUUUCUCAUUUUUCUUGUUUGACUGGUUGUAACUUGUCUUCAAAUUUUGAUAUCCACCAAAAAACUAUCCAAGAGCUUGAUUGUUUUAGAUAGUCAUUCAACAGCUUGACUGACUUUAUAUUUGUCUGUGCAACAAAUUUGAAAAUUUUUUUUAAAAAAGUCAAUAUUGAAUUUUAGACAUGCAUAAAUAGCAUAAUUUUUUAUUAUGCAGUGAAAAUAUAUGUAUAAAGUAUGAGGAAAGAUCUACUUAUACCGGUAUAAAAUUAAAUUAGUUUUACACUUUUUCAUGUCUUUUUAUUUCAUUUAUAUUUUGUUAAUCUAACCGUUCAUUUUAUGUUUUAUUCAUAUAAAUAUUCAUAGAUAGCAAAUUUCAAGUUAAUUGGAAAUGACUAACUACAUAUUUGAGAAAAAUAAAAUUUCAAUCAUUAAAUAUAUAUUGAAAAAAGGCAUUAUUCUCGGUUGAUGUAAUAAGAAUGUUGAAUUAAUAUGAGACUUUACGUGUAUGAUAAAUGCGAAUAAGUUGUUAAAUGUAAUGAUUCUAUUUGUUAAAAUAUUAAUUCCCUAAGAAGUUAUAGAAAAAUGUAAAGUACUUAGUUUUAGAGAUACAAGGCGAUUCCUCUUGGCCGGUAUAAAGUAUUGCUAUUUAGGCUUUUGUGUGCAAUUUUUUUUCAUAGCUAAUUGUUGUUGAAAGUGUGCAAUCUUUACUACUGUAUGCAUGUAAUAUUUUUGUCCAAAAUAUUAGCAAAAAAAAUGUUUUGAACUGUGAACUCCGUAAAAGUUCUAUACAAAAGGAUUUUAAACAACAAUAGUUAAAGAAAAAAAAUAAAUAAAUGAAAAUUUAAUUAUUAUAGUGUGUUUUUUCCACUUGUUCAAAGUAAGAUUUGAUUUCAAUUGCAGCCCUAGAUAUAAUCAGCAAAGCAAUGAAGCUAACAUUAUCCAAAGAUUUAAUGUUUCUCGUUAAACUUUUUUAUAUAUAAUUCUCCAAAGAAAAAUACAGUUUUAUACUUAAAAAAUAAAUGUAAAAUAUGAAAUUGAUCAAAUUUUUUCAGAAUUAUUAUUUUAUAUAUCUUGAAAUUUUGAAAUUCCAAAAUUUAUAAUAUUGUUUAAGUCAUAUUAUAUAUAUUAUUGAGGGUUUAUAGUAAUAUCCCUACUGUGUAGAUUUACUUGGAUGAAUUGCAAAGAUUUCUUUUCCAUCAGUGCCGCUACGUACCAAUUUGUUAGGUACACGGAUUUUCUUCUUUCUUGUUUGUUUGCGUGGAAAAUCAUCAAAAAGCUCUAUGACAGGCUUGUCGUUAAAGGUGUUUUGCGGGUUGGGUUUAAUUAGUUGACUGACUUUUCAAAAGAAGACUUGGUUUUAACAAUAAAUGUAAGAACUGCUUCACUUGCCUCUAUCAAAACGAGGACCUUAAUCUCCCACUGAAACUUUAGGAUGCUUAGCGUCAUACUUCCAUUACUUUGCCUCUUGGUUUGGCUUCAGUGCAAAUCUCCAAUCCAGUCGUUACAAAAAAAGACAAGUACUGUGGCUUUUCUUUCUGUGGAAACAUUAACAUCACUUACCCUUUUCGAUUAAAAAACCAGCCUCGUAGUUGUGGUUACAAUAGGUUUGAACUAGUGUGCCAGAAUAACCGCACCAUUUUCCCCAGGAAAUAUGGGAAUUUCUAUGUCCAACACAUCUCUUAUAGUGACGAAACCAGCCGACUUUUAGACGAGAGUCUUGGCAACGACAACUGCUCUAUUCCUCAUAGUACCUAUCCUCGGUCCACCCCUUCUGCAAAAAAACUAUAUCCCUGGCGUACCUUUUCAUGGGAAGAAAGAAAUUUCUAUCAAACUACCCCUGAAUUUAGCGUCAUGUAUCUCAUAAAUUGCACGAUGCAGAUCAACUACUCUUCCGUUUAUAUCGAUGCUUUUCGUUGCACCAAUACCCCUUCCUCCUCUCAACCUCCGUACUUUUACUUUUUGGAUGAAAAUACAGCACCGUCUGAUUUCCAUGAGUCAUGCACUGUUGAAGCCCAAGUUCCAAUCAUGGUUGCCAGUAUCAUCGGCCUCUCUACUUUUGAUAUUUACACAAAGCUGUUAACGGGAUUCCAACUCUCAUGGUUCACUUCCUCUUAUGAUUAUGUUUGGCUGCGGUGGGACUCAAUUGUUAACGUGUGAGGAUUUUUAAGUAUUCCGCAAUAUUUGGUGUUGUUUCGUUUUUGAAAAAUAUUUAUUAUUAUUAAUUUUUUUUGGAUCGUAAUAUUUAUUAUUUUUAGCAUACAUAAAUAUGAUAAAAAAACAAAUAUCAAAAUAUUUAGUUUUGAAUUCUUUUAAACUACUUUUUUAAUUAUGUGUAUAAAUUUGUAUCUAAAAUUUAAACUCGAUAUUUUAAUGUAAAAUUUAAAGAGAAGGAAUUAAGACAUUUUCAACACUAAAAGUGCGCAUAUCAUUUGCCUUAUUAAGGAUUAAUGGUUUUGAUGUGCUUUUUUGAAUAUUAAUUAUAGAUUGCUAUUCUUGCUCAAGCUGUGGUCGGUUCUGCCGAAGAUACUUGUACAAGGCAACAUAGCUUUUUUUGAACCAGAUUCUAUCGAUGGAUUUAGUAAAUGUAUUCUUUCGGUUCUGAGUUCAUUAAUAUUUUGAUUAUUAUUGGAUUUGCCUUUACUUUGAUAGAAUCUAUUUUCAUUUAUUUUCUGAUUUGGUAAUAUCUUUGCAGGAAUCCAGAUUCUUUGUGUUGCAAUAACAGGUACUAAAUUCUAUACUUAUUUAUUUACUCUUAAAUUCUACAAUUAUUAUAAUGUAUGACAUCAAUAAAUAUAUUAUUAUAUAAAUGGAUUAAAAAAUUAUUAAAUUAUUUAAAAAAUUCCUAAACUAUUUUACAACAAUUCCAAUAAGCUUUUCUUAAUUUUUAUUGCAUUCAAUCAAGCUAUUAUAUUUUUAUUUUGAACCAAAUAAACCCUUCUAAGUAACAGUUAACUAAUGUUAUUAGUUCAAAUGUCACUUGUUAUUUCAUACUCAUGUGACAUUGAUAUGAUGCUGACAUGGAGGAUGAAAAUGCCACAUAACCAUGUCAUAAUGCCAUAUACUCUGAUAUGUCAACAUAAUAUAUCCAUGUCAUAUGAUAUAAAAUAACAAAUGGUAUUUUGAUUAAUAACAGUUAGUUAACCAUUAGUUAUAAUGACUUAUUUGGUUCAAAAUAAAUGUUUAAGAGCUUGAUCAUACACAAUAAAAGAAUGAGAGUUUAUUUGAAUUUUUCUAAAUAGCUCAAGAAAUUUUUAAGUAUUAUGCAUUUUUGUGUGUGCGUGUGUGUAUAUGUACCAGUGUGAAAUUAAUUAAAUUUACACCUUUUCAUAUUUUUUAUAAGAUUUAUAUUUUGUUAAUUUAACCGGUGUAUUCCAUAUAUACUCAAUUUACAUAGAUCAUGCAUAAAAAAUUUUAAAUCAAUUGAAAAUAUCUAAUUAUUUGUAUAAUAAUAAUAAAAUUUUAACCAUUAAAUAUAUAUUUAAAAAACAAUAUUCUCUACCAAUGUGAUAUGGAUAUUGCACUGACUUGAAACUUUUUAUGUACGAUUGGAUGCAAAUAAAGUUAGCUUGCUAAAACUUAAUUGUAUAUGAAAUUAUAAAAUGGUGUAUAUAUAUAUAUAUAUAUGAGUAUUGCAUAUAUGUAUAUGUAUGUAUAAAGAGAUUCAAUAAAGGAUAAAAUAAUUAAAUAAGAGAAGAUCUACUAUAAAUUAUUCAUAAAUAAUAUUGAACUACAUUAAUUAGGUUUUUUUAGUAAGGUAUUUUUAUUUUGUUACGAUGUUUUUUGGUCAAAAUAAAAAUUAUGUCCAAAUUUAACAUUUUACUUUGGUGAUAGACCAAAUUAUGAUCAUAUUUAAAUGAGAAUAAUUGGCACUAUACUUUUAAAUUGGUUAAAAAUGAUCAAAAGUUAUGAAAUAAACUCAAAAGUACAAUAAUGAAAGUUACACUCAUUCAAAAAUGAAUAGUAAAUUUAAUCCAUCAUUUUUUUUAAAAGGUGAAUUUUUAUUAACCUCAACACUAUCAUGCCAUUUUGAUUCUCAAGCUUAGAUUGCAAGAGACUCUCAUGACAUAAAUAGUUAGUAAGCAGCCUGUACAAUUUCCAAAAAGAAUAUGCUACUCAAUAAGAUUUUGGUAGCAACUCAGGAUAAAGAAACUAACGUACCUUAAGCAGAUUGGUGGUAAAUUUGAACCUUAUCUCAAAUUAUUCUAUGAAGUUUGUUUGUGAAAAUAUGGCAGCUAGCACAUGCCCAAAUUAAAGUUGUAAAUAACAUAUACAUGUUCUAUAAUCAUGUUUUCCAACUAAUUGAUUUACAUAUUGUUUUGUAUUUUUUUUUUUUUGAGAAACAGGAAUUCUUUUGCUAAGAACUUUUUUGGGAAUAAUUUGCUUGAUUGUGCUGGUUAGACGAAAAUUAAAAAGGAGGCAUUUGUCGAUGGAUGACGUGAUUGAGAAUUUUCUUCAGAGUCAAAACAAUUUAAUGCCUAUAAGAUAUUCUUACUCUGAAAUAAAAAGAAUGACUGAUGGUUUCAAGAAUAAACUUGGUCAAUGAGGAUAUGGCUCUGUGUUUAAAGGAAAACUUUGACGUGGUCAACUUGUUGCGAUAAAAUUGUUAAACAAGUCAAAAGCUAACGGCCAAGAUUUCAUCAAUGAAGUUGCAACUAUUGGAAGGAUUCAUCAUGUUAAUGUGGUAAGACUUAUUGGAUUUUGCGUGAAGGGAUCAAAACAAGCUCUUGUAUAUGACUUCAUGAAGAAUGGGUCCUUGG
rnacentral:lncRNA from 1 species